GUUAAGGUGGCAGAGCCCGGUAAUUGCAAAAGACCUAAGUCCUUUCUACAGAGGUUCAAGUCCUCUCCCUAACU
rnacentral:tRNA from 1 species